AUUGAACGCUGGCGGCAGGCCUAACACAUGCAAGUCGAACGAGUGGCGGACGGGUGAGUAAUGUCUGGGAAACUGCCUGAUGGAGGGGGAUCACUACUGGAAACGGUAGCUAAUACCGCAUACCCUCAGUUGUGCCCAGAUGGGAUUAGCUGGUUGGUGGGGUAACGGCUCACCAAGGCGACGAUCCCUAGCUGGUCUGAGAGGAUGACCAGCAACAUUGGAACGGAGACACGGCCCAGACUCCUACGGGAGGCAGAAGGGGGGAAUAUUGCACAAUGGGCGAAAGCCUGAUGCAGCAAUGCCGCGUGGAUGAAGAAGGCUUUCGGGUUGUAAAGUACUUUCAGCGGGGAGGCGUUACCCGCAGAGGAAGCACCGGCUAACUCCGUGCCAGCAGCCGCGGUAAUUC
rnacentral:rRNA from 1 species